CGUACCUUCUUUCUCUCUUCCCCUUUCCUUCUCUCUCUCCCCCUUCCCUUCUCAGGGGUCGUAAGGGGCUGGUCCCCAGCAUCUGGCAGCCCAACGUGGGGCCCGAGCGACCACCGGACGACUGAGGAAAAAUUCGGCGCCGAAAUCGAGACUACAGUAACGGGUAGGGAUCGAAUAGACGAUCCUGAGGAAAUCGAGACUACAGUAACGGGUAGGGAUCGAACAGCUCCUGAGGAAGGGUUUUCUGUUUAUUUUCUCAGAUACAUGGAGUCCAUGGAAGAUGAUUAAGAGCAUCUGAUGGCAAGAAAAUCUGCCCGGAAGAAGGACAGAAGGCAGAGGUGUCUGGCACAGGACACCAGAAAAGCAGCACAUGGACUGUAAAGGCUGCCCUAUAGAUAAUGAAAACAUCUGGUCUCCCACGUCAUGCUUCAUGCCAGCUGAUACAGACCAGGAAGAGAAGCAGACGGAAGGUGAUGGCAUCAGCUACCUACAUGCCAGCCACAAUCCAGACUCGCUGGAAGGACACUUCUUUGGUGACUAAUAUCACUCUAGAACAAUGACAUUACACUAUUAGAGACAUUGGCUAUUAGGCCACUGACGGACACUUGUCAUGCUGACAUCCAUUGAGAUGGGGUACCCAGAGCAACAUCAAGUAUGCUAACUCAGAAGGACUAAAUCACACUUGUGUCUGUACAAGACACCAGAUACGUCCCACACUCCAAAGACUUUGCGAUGGGAUUGAGAUGAAAUAGCUACAAAUUGUCUAGCUACUAAAGUAUACCUUGUAUUUUGUAUAUGAUACUGUCAAAGGGAAUUUUGUAUGCAUUAUGAAUUGUAUGCAUUGUAAAGCUACCACUUGUAUUGUAAGAAUUGCUGUUAUCAACAAGGGUAUAGACCUUGGUAGGACUCUCCAAAGAGUAGGAGAUAGAAAACUUUCAUUCAUAGCAUAGAUCUGAUACCUCUGACAUCAAAAAUGAGGUGCUAAGCAGAAAAUGCUGCACAGACAGGUUUAAUGGACAGAUGACACUGAUGUUACUCUCAGGAAAGGAUGAGAGAUCAAGGAAAAGACACUAGGAAAUCUUUAAUCAGGAACCUGAGUUAUUGUAAGAGAUCAUUGACAUCCAGGCAAAGAUUAUGUUCCUGACAUUACAUUAAGGGCUGACUUUUUGUGG
rnacentral:lncRNA from 1 species